rnacentral:rRNA from 1 species
UACGUAGGUGGCAAGCGUUGUCCGGAAUUAUUGGGCGUAAAGCGUACGCAGGCUGUUCGUUAAGUCGGGUGUGAAAGCCCGGGGCUCAACCCCGGAAAUGCGCCCGAAACUGGCGAGCUUGAGUGCGGGAGAGGGAAGCGGAAUUCCUGGUGUAGAGGUGAAAUUCGUAGAUAUCAGGAGGAACACCGGUGGCGAAAGCGGCUUCCUGGCCCGACACUGACGCUCAUGUACGAAAGCGUGGGGAGCAAACAGG